rnacentral:rRNA from 1 species
GACAGAGGGGGCAAGCGUUGCUCGGAAUCACUGGGCGUAAAGGGCGCGUAGGCGGGAUGGCAAGUCAGUCGUGAAAUCUCUCGGCUCAACCGAGAAACGUCGGCUGAUACUGCCGUUCUUGAGGGAUGCAGAGGAGACUGGAAUUCCCGGUGUAGCGGUGAAAUGUGUAGAGAUCGGGAGGAACACCGGUGGCGAAGGCGGGUCUCUGGGCCACUACUGACGCUGAGAAGCGAAAGCAUGGGGAGCGAACGGG